rnacentral:lncRNA from 1 species
UCUUUCUUUCUUUCUUUCUUUCUUUCUUUCUUUCUUUCUUUCUUCUUCUUUCUUUCUUUUUCUCUCACACAGUGCAUCCUAUCAGUAGCCCCUUUCCUCUCUAUUCCUCCCAGUUGCCACUCCUUACCUCCCCUCUCCCCCAGAUCCAAACCUCCCCCUCACACAUCCACGUUUUCCUUCAGAAAAGAGCAGGCCUCCCAGGGAUAUCAACCAAAUGUGGUAUAACAAGACUAGAUACAACCCUCAUAUGAGGGUUAGGUGAGGAAACCCAGUAAGAGGAAAGGAGUUCAAGAAUAUGUGAAAUAUGGUUUAUUCUAAUACCAAUGUCAGGAGUACCACAAAAAACACCAGGCUAAGAACCACAACAUAUUUGCAAAGACCUAUAUUGCUCAAACUCAUUCACUUGUUCUGUGGUUGCUGCUUCAGUCUCUACGAGAGCCUAUGAGCUCUGCUUAGUUUAUUUGGUGGGUGCUGUUUGAGCCAAAGGCUUAAGGCUACGUUUGAAUAAUGAUGUUAAACUAUAAAACCAUAAGAUGAUGAAGUUGUAGAACAAGGCUGCUGGGAAGUGAUUUAUUGAUGUGUGAGGUGCUCAAAAAUGAAAUUAAUGCAUUUAGAAAGAGACUCUAUAGCAGUCCCUGCCCCUUCCUUCUACUAGCUAAGGAAAAAGUAAAAAUGGGAAGUAGAUCGUCAGACACUAAAUUGGCUAGCAUCUGGGUCUCAUGUUUCUCAGCUUCCAGAGAUAUGAGAAAUAAAAUUCUAUUUUCUACAGCCU